UUACGGCCACAUCGCGUUGAAACACCAGUUCUCGUAUGAUCACUGAAGUUAAACAACGUAGAGCCUGGUCAGCACCGAGAUGGAUGACCGCUUGAGAAUACCAGGUGGCGU